rnacentral:rRNA from 1 species
CCUACGGGAGGCAGCAGUAGGGAAUCUUCCGCAAUGGGCGAAAGCCUGACGGAGCAACGCCGCGUGAGUGAAGCAGGAUUUCGGUUCGUAAAGCUCCGUUGUUAGGGAAGAAUGAUUGUGUAGUAACUAUACACAGUAGAGACGGUACCUAACCAGAAAGCCACGGCUAACUACGUGCCAGCAGCCGCGGUAAUACGUAGGUGGCAAGCGUUGUCCGGAAUUAUUGGGCGUAAAGCGCGCGCAGGUGGUUUAAUAAGUCUGAUGUGAAAGCCCACGGCUCAACCGGGGAGGGUCAUUGGAAACUGUUAAACUUGAGUGCAGGAGAGAAAAGUGGAAUUCCUAGUGUAGCGGUGAUAUGCGUAGAGAUUAGGAGGAUCACCAAUGGCGAAGGCGGCUUUUUGGCCUUUAACUGACACUGAGGCGCGAAAGCGUGGGGAGCAAACAGGAUUAGAUACCCCGGUAGUC